UACGUAGGGGCAAGCGUUGUCCGGAUUCAUUGGGCGUAAAGAGCGUGUAGGCGGCCAGGUAGGUCGGUUGUGAAAACUGGAGGCUCAACCUUCAGAGGUCGACCGAAACCAUCUGGCUAGAGUCCGGGAGAGGAGAGUGGAAUUCCUGGUGUAGCGGUGAAAUGCGCAGAUAUCAGGAAGAACACCCGUGGCGAAAGCGGCUCUCUGGAACGGUACUGACGCUAGAGCGAAAAGCGUGGGGGAGCGAA
rnacentral:rRNA from 1 species